AUGACUAAAAGUCGUCGCGGCAAACUCUACAUCGAUGACGCAGGCUGGGGCCCCGGGGCCGGCUCAAUUGAGUACGGGUACCGGGUCCCCUUUGGUAGCAUUCACAUUUUCAUUGGCAAGAUCGGUGAACCGGGCCCUGAGCCGGACAUCUGCGCCGACCUUGUCGAGACGGCUCAGCGUGCGCGAUCUGCCCGGGUUAAACCAGCCAUGAAGCGUGCCUUCGUGGGAAUGAUCCAUGGAGGGAGUUAUGAGGAUGUAUCAGAGCUUCGCGGGGCAACUACCGUUUGUUCCGGUGACGACUCUUCGACCGGAGAAACCGAAUCUCUUUAUCAGCUACAAGAUAGCCGGAUUGAGAGCUAUUCCGAUGGUGACAGUAUUCCGGACCCCUCUGAUCUGCCUAACCGGGUUGGAAUAUUUAUGACCGGAACACAAGCAGCGCUUCACUCUUCGACAGCCGUGGCAGCGAUCUCCGGUUCAGCAGCGGCAACGGCUGCCGGGGCAGGAGGCCCUGUGCACCCGUUGGCUCAGGUUCUAUCAGAACUGUUUGAUGAGUUGGCUGUGCUUAUGGCAGAAGUUAAUCCGCCAGAUCAGGACGCUCACAACACGGAGAUUGCAAAGGUAAAGGAACAAAUCACCCGGGCCAAAACGGAUCUGGCGCCUAAGGACACCAGGAUGGCCGCAGAGCGGUCCGCUUUAGAUGCACAGGCCUACAUGCUUAUGUUGGACCAGAGCGCGUCGCGUGAAGUCAUGAGGAGGAAGCACCGAUCCCGCUUACCUCUGGUUUUCGAGGCCAGGGACCUUUUCAACACUCCAGGACCAAGAGCCAACAAUCCGCUGGAGGGGAACCAGGCAGAAGCCCCUAGGACCGGUGCGCCGGUUCAGCCCCGUCAGAUGGACCCGCCUCGUCAAAACACCGUUAUACCUCGGGAUGCUUUAACACCUUUGGGUCAUUAUUCCAACCCAAUGGAGAACCUUGUUGCCGCUGCUGCACGGCUGGAGGCCAUUCCAGUUGAAGGUGACUCGCCACAGGCAGUAGAGACGCGACGGGUCAAGGAACUUCUGAGGACAGCUUUGGCCCAACAGGAAGCGUACUCGUACAGCCGCGACCGGAUCCACUCGACCCCCCGUCCAAGCCGGAGUUAUAGCAGACAUAUGGAUGAACUAGCAGUGUCGAGUAAUGAACGAUGUGGAGCACCCCGUGGUAACAACCCGAUGGGUAGUGCUGAUGACGCUCAGGAAGUGGUGAACCGGGCCCGAGCGCGCAGGGAGGCCGAGUUAGCCGCACAACAUCAGGCUCGGCAGCUCACGCCGGUUCGUCCAACCAUUUCGAUCGAACCUGGUGUUACUUCUAGUUCUUUGGGGGUGCCUUACCUCGUCCCCGCUUUACGCAACGUGCGCCUGCCCAAGAAUUUCAAAGGCCCACGCAAGGUACCAAAUUAUACGGCGGAUCAACCACCAGAGACAUGGGUAGAGAGUUAUGAGAUGGUCAUGGAGAUGCUUGAUGUGGAUGACACGGCGUGUGCGAAAUACUUCACCAUGAUGCUUGAAGGAACGGCCUGUACUUGGCUAAAAAGCUUGCCCGCUAAUUCUAUCAGUUCGUGGGCCCAAUUACGAGCCCGGUUUAUCAACAAUUUCAAGGAUACCUGUAAACAGCCUAUGUCGAUAGUGGACUUAGCUGCAUGCGUCCAGGAGGAAGGAGAGUCAACGACUCAUUGGGUGCGCCGGGUUUCACAAGUGUUGCACUCCUCAGACCGCAUCAACGCUGACACCGCAGUAUUAACCCUAGAUGGCAACUACCGGUUUGGGCCCCUGAAGUUGAAAUUGGGACGGAUGAAGCGUCAUUGCACCGACAUGGGAACCCUCAUGGCCGCUUUGGUAAAAUAUGCUGAUUCUGAUAGUACCAAGGAUCCCGAGUCUGAUGAUGACAAGACAGGCAAGGGGAAGAAGAACAGCAGCUCCAAAGGUCAGCAGCAUCACUGGGUAGGCAAUGGUGGAGGAGGCAAGCGUAAAGCGGAUGGCAACAUGGAUUUUGUGGCUAAUACCAACGUACAUGACAAUGGCCAGCGACGCAAGGGCAGGCCAAAAAAUCGUAGUGGAGCGCCCAACCCCAACCCAAACCGCCUGAACUAUUUGCUAAACCAGCCCUGUCCAAAACAUGGGACGAAGGAGGAGCCAGCAAACCACCUUUGGAAGGAUUGUUUUAUUAUGCAGGAGUUCAAGAAUUCUAAUAAUUUUCGGUAUGAUCAUGGAUCUGGCGGCGGCUCAGGAUCCGGGCCGGGUUACGGUGGAGGAAGUUCCGGUUCAGGAUUUAAUGGUAAUCCGGGCGGGCAUAAUGGUCAAAAUAGUCAGAACAACCAGGGUGGUUACAAUCAACAGCAGCAACAGACAGGUUACCAAAGCAAACCAAAGAAGUUGAGUAGUGGGCAGUACCAUGUCUUUACCACUAGCUUGGACAAGCGAGAUCGAAAGGUUCAGAGGCGGGCAGUCAACUCUGUUGAACCGGCCACACCCCGUUAUCUACGUUGGUCUGAACAGCCAAUCAUAUGGAGCAGAGAGGAUCACCCACUCCAGGUCGAUAAUCCAGGUCAGUUGGCUCUGGUGGUGGCGCCUGAGGUGGGAGGUUACAAGUUCACCAAGGUUCUCAUGGAUGGAGGGAGCAGCAUUAACAUCCUAUACUAUGAGACCUUCCAUCGUAUGGGACUAACAGAUAAGAAUCUCCAACCGUCCAAUACAGUAUUCCACGGUGUAGUGCCUGGCAGAUCAGCAUAUCCCGUUGGUAAGAUAGCUCUUGAAGUGGUCUUUGGGGAUGAUCAUGAUUCCAGGUCGGAGACAUUAACGUUUGAAGUGGUGAAAAUCCAAAGUCCAUAUCAUGCCCUGUUUGGGCGUCCGGCAUACGCCAAGUUUAUGGCUCGGCCCUGUUAUGUGUAUUUGCAGCUCAAGAUGCCGGGUCACAAGGGGACAAUAAUGGUUCAUGGAAGCCGCAAAAUCACUUUGGAAUGCGAGGAAGGAGAUGCGGCUUAUGCAGAGUCGGUUUGUGCCACCGAGGAGUUGAAAUACUAUAAAGACAAUGUUGAUCCGGCGGACAUGACUCCGUUGAAGAAGCCAACUACGGAGCACGAUCCGGCCCUGAAGUUCAAAUCGGCAGCAGAAACUAAGCUGGUUGACUUCGUACCUGGUGAUUCGUCCAAGCAGUUCAACAUCAGUGCCAACUUGGAUCCAAAAUAG
rnacentral:rRNA from 1 species